UCCCUAUCCAUGCAUAUAUAGGUCUUAGGCCCUUUGUUAAUGGAUUUGCAUUCAACAUUUCAACUCCCAAUUAAUAUAUAUACAAGAAAAAUUUCUAGAGAUCAAGAGGAUCAGUAUGGGGAAAAUUUGUUCAAGAAAAUUUAUGGUGAUGGUGUUGAUAAUGCUUGUGUUAAGUUUAACGCAUGCUGAUAACUCUCUUGACGUUCCUGGCUCCCCGCUUCCACUUCCGCUUCCUCUUCUUUCUCCUCCGCGCCGCCUUCUCUCUUUCCGGCCUGCACGUAACGAUUUCCUGCCGGUCCGUGUGAUUCGUGGAUUCUCUAAAAUUCCUGGAAUUUCUAAAGUUCCAAAGCUGGUAGCUAAGAUCCCUAUAUUUUCUAAAAUCACUAAAAGUAAAUUAUUUACUAAAGCCGGCGCCGGAAAUCUGGCAACAUGUGCUGUUACUUGUCAGAUGUUUUGUCCAAAUAAUCAUGGAACAAUAACCGCAGCUUGUUAUGCUGUUUGCGGCAAAAUAGCAUGUGGGCAUUAGCCACUCUCUAGUGUGGAUUAAGCGGAAUGCUUAUACAUAUGCACCAGCUACGUACGUACGAUCGCCCAACAAAAAUUAUUGUGGACUUAAUUAGUAGCAUUUUCUUUACUUUAUUGGUGAAAAAAGUGUGCUACACUACACAUGUACUAAGAAUAUGGAUACAUGCAGGGCAGGGUAUGUAUAUAUUGAUGCAUUAAGUACUUUGUAUUAAUUUCCAUAAAUAAAUAAAAUGGCUGGCUAUAUAAUAUUAUAAUGGCA